ACAGCAUUUUUUGCAGUGUGGAUGGUGCAGGUGUACUUUCGUCACGAAUACGGCUCCCGCGGCUCUUCCUCCCGGCCGCUGGAGGGAGCAGUCACCUGAAUUCUGAUCACCCCUCAUUCGGACUACAUUACCCAUGGGCCCUGAUUCCUGGGACUGAUUGCGCACGCACCUACACUGCAUCACACUCACACUACUUAAGUCACACACACACACUGCGAAGUCUUGAUUUGCCUAGGUGAUAAUUUCCGAGCGUUUCCCUGUGGACUGUUUAUCUGUUGCUGUUUGGACUGCUUAUCCCUUUGUGAAUCUCCGCUGCCUGCCCUGAUCCUUGCCUGUUUUCUGGAUUGUGUUCUGCCUGCCGCCUGCCCUGAUUUCUGCCUGUUGUAGACCCUGUUUCUUUGCCGCCUGCCACGAUCCCUGCCUGUCCCUGUUUACGCUAUUGCCUUUCCCUUGUUUGCAUUGUGCUAUGUUUUAAAUAAAAGCUGCAAAUGGAUCCUCACGCUGUUGACCCAUCAUUACAACUUUCAUGGAUGGUCCAGCUGUCAUGCGUCGCAAGGCGUAUAUACUCUGUUCCUCCUCUUUUGUCUCUUGUCCAUAUAGACACUAAUCACAAGCUGAUUAGCCCUGACCCGUCGAGGCAUGGACUCCACUAGACCCCUGAAGGUGUGCUGUGGUAUCUGGACCAAAAUGUUAGCAGCAAAUCCUUUAAGUCCUGUAAGUUGCGAGGUGGAGACUCCAUGGAUCGGACUUGUUUGUUCAGCACAUCCCACAGAUGCUCGAUUGGAUUGAGAUCCGGGGAAUUUGGAGACCAAGUCAACACCUCAAACUCGUUGUUGUGCUCCUCAAACCAUUCCUGAACCAUUUUUGAUUUGUGGCAGGAGCAUUAUCCUGCUGAAAGAGGCCACAGCCACCAGGGAAUACCGUUUCCAUGAAAGGGUGUACAUGGUCUGCAACAAUGCUUAGGUAGGUGGUACGUGUCAAAGUAACAUCCACAUGGAUGGCAGGACUCAAGGUUUCCCAACAGAACAUUGCCCAAAGCAUCACACUGCCUCCGCCGGCUUGCCUUCUUCCCAUAGUGCAUCCUGGUGCCAUUGUUCCCCAGGUAAGAGACGCACACGCACCCGGCCAUCCACGUGAUGUAAAAGAAAAUGUGAUUCAUCAGGAUCUGUGAUCAAAAAUGCUUCUGGUGGUGGGAAGAACUUGCUGUACAUUGUGCCAUUGCGGGAUGAGCUUGAUAUGAUACGACUGUGACCAGAUGCACCUGAAUUGGUCCGCGUGCCAAAGGCAACUUGUGAAAAAUGCAAGAUUCUAACGCCACUCCAGACAUUGGAUUUGUUGACCAGUGUGACAGCAUGCAAAACUCAGAAAACUCUGAAAUUGAGUUUGCAGGAAGAAGAUUUGAUGUUGAUAGAGGAGGCAGCAUCUUCAAGGCAAAGCCUUAGACCUUCCAAUGAUGCAACAUCAUCCAAUGUUAAACAUCACCCUCAGGAGGCACUUGAGACCCAGUGUCCAAAAUGCACAGGAAUAUUUCCAGUUUCAGAAUUAGAAUUGGACGCCAGCUUUUGUGGAGAAAGGUAAUGGAAAUAGUGACUCACAUUAAAGCUUAAAAAAAACACCAAAAAGUGUUGUUUUCUGAAGCCAUAUGAUCACUGUAUGAUGAACAGGCCAAAAUGUAAUCAUUUAUUCAUUCCCAAAUUAAACUAUAUACAGAGACAAAAUUAAAUGUGGCAAUGUCAAAAGCUAUCUACAUUUUUUUUUUUAAAUCAAACGUUCUUGUGUUUCUCUGGCUGUGGAAUGGCAUGAGGGUGAAUAACAGACUUUAUCAUUUGUAAUAUUUAAUAUACUAUUGUAAUAUUUAAAUUAUCAAGUAUCAAUCUCAAGAACCUAACUUUCACAACUGUUGCUUAGACAUCUUAUCUUAUAACGAACAAAGGAAGUAUUGCAGUUACUUAAUUUCAUAAUCAUUCAAGCAUUCAUUGUUCCUUAAACCUACCUUUUGUAAAGCAACCUUGGGUGUUGUGAAAGCACUAGCUAUAUAAAAAAAAUUAUUAUUGUUCAAGCCUAUAUGGCCUUAACUUAAAAGCAAGCAAAUAACAUAACAUUGAAACGGAUAAAUAGCAAUAUCAAUAUUGAAAACAUUAUAUACAGAUAUCUUUUAACGAGGCAAUAUUAAUUUAUCGACCAAAACAGUACCUGGGAAUGUAUAAGAGUAAGCAAGCAGAUAACCUCAACUUUCGGUUCCAAAAACGGAGGUAACUUUCAGGAUAUGUAAAUAGCCAUAGCAAAUUACUCUCUGAACAUAAGGUGCUCCGUAUAUAUAUAAUUAGCAUCAAACUAUGUAAUUCUUAUUCUCAGUAAAAAUAAGGAUUACUUAUUUAAUGAAAAGAUUUAAAAAAUGAUUGCACAACUACCAAUAGGUGGCGAUGUGCACUAAGUACUUUAUGUAAAUCAAUCGCCAUUAAACAAAAGGAGGAAGUAGAAUGGUGCACUUUUUCUUGGCAUCUGUUUCCAUGGUGAAUCAUUGAUUCAUCGUUCUGUUGAGAAUGUCUUGUGUGUUAACUGGGAACAUAAUCUGGGUUGGCUGAAUUUAUACUCCCGGACACGUUUUUGGAACCAGCGUACCUCAAGUAAGCAAGGUUUGGGUUAAUCAACUGAGAGUUCAGGGUAUAUGUGACGGUAAGUUAACCUUGCUUUCUGGAAUACCCCCAGUCUUUAUUUACAUUUGCAUUGCAAACAAGCAGAGAUCUAAUGACCUGCAGCGCCAUGGGCGACAGAUUACCUAUGCCUGACUUCACUGGAGCUAUAAACUAUAAUCUUUGAAACUUCUGGCCUGGCACUGCUACACUAUAUUGCCAAAAGUUUUGGGACGCCUGCCUUUUACGUGCAUAUGCACUUUAAUGACAUCCCAUUCUUAAUCCGUAGGGUUUAAUAUGGUGUUGGCCCACCCUUUGCAGCUAUAACAGCCUCAACUCUUCUGGGAAGGCUUUCCACAGGGUUUAGGAGUGUGUUUAUGGGAAUUUUUGACCAUUCUUCUAGGAGCGCAUUUGUGAGGCCAGGCAGUGAUGUUGGACGAGAAGGCCUGGCUCGCAGUCUCCGCUCUAAUUCAUCCCAAAGGUGUUAAAUCGGGUUGAGGUCAGGACUCUGUGCAGGCCAGUCAAGUUCCUCCACACCAAACUCGCUCAUCCAUGUCUUUAUGGACCUUGCUUUGUGCACUGGUGCGCAGUCAUGUUGGAACAGGAAGAGGCCAUCCCCAAACUGUUCCCACAAAGUUGGGAGCAUGAAAUUGUCCAAAAUGUCUUGGUAUGCCGAAGCAUUAAGAGUUCCUUUGACUGGAACUAAGGGGUUAAGCCCAACCCCUGAAAAACAACCCCACACCAUAAUCCCCCCUCCACCAAACUUUACACUUGGCACAAUGCAGUCAGGCAAGUACCGUUCUCCUGGCAACCGCCAAACCCAGACUCGUCCAUCGGAUUGCCAGACAGAGAAGCGUGAUCUGUCACUCCAGAGAACACGUCUCCACUGCUCUAGAGUCCAGUGGCGGCAUGCUUUACACCACUGCAUCCGACGCUUUGCACAUGGUAAUGUAAGGCUUGGAUGCAGCUGCUUGGUCAUGAAAACCCAUUCCAUGAAGCUCUCUACACACUGUUCUUGAGCUAAUCUGAAGGCCACAUGAAGUUUGGAGGUCUGUAGCUAUUGACUCUGCAGAAAGUUGGCGACUUCUGCACACUGUGCACCUCAGCAUGCGCUGACCCCGCUCUGUGAUUUUACGUGGCCUACCACUUCGUGGCUGAGUUGCUGUUGUUCCCAAUUGCUUCUACUUCAUGAUACCACUAACAGUUGACCGUGGAAUAUUUAGUAGUGAGAAAAUUUCAC